CUUCAAGUGGUAGAUUAUUCCAAUGCACUAGUACUUCGGUAGAUGGAUGUCGGCGACGCAUCACGAUCCUGCGAUCGAGGAUGGCUUGUGGUUGGGCUUGAAUAACUCCAUCCUCAGUUGUGUUGGGCAGUUGGAUCUGGGGUGACUCAUGUUCUCCCAACUUGGGCUUUAGGCAUGAUACGUGGAAGACAGGGUGAAUUUUGGCAUCUUCAGGUAAUUUAAGUCUGUACGCC
rnacentral:lncRNA from 1 species